rnacentral:rRNA from 1 species
UCUAGAAGAUCCUACGGGGGGCUGCAGUGGGGAAUUUUGCGCAAUGGGGGAAACCCUGACGCAGCAACGCCGCGUGGAGGAUGAAGUCCUUCGGGACGUAAACUCCUUUCGAUCGGGACGAUUAUGACGGUACCGGAAGAAGAAGCCCCGGCUAACUUCGUGCCAGCAGCCGCGGUAAUACGAGGGGGCGAGCGUUGUUCGGAAUUAUUGGGCGUAAAGGGUGCGUAGGCGGUUUGGUAAGUCUUAUGUGAAAUCUAUGGGCUCAACUCAUAGUCUGCAUGAGAAACUGCCGGGCUUGAGUGUGGGAGAGGUGAGUGGAAUUCCUGGUGUAGCGGUGAAAUGCGUAGAUAUCAGGAGGAACACCUGUGGCGAAAGCGGCUCACUGGACCAUAACUGACGCUGAUGCACGAAAGCUAGGGGAGCAAACAGGAUUAGAUACCCCUGUAGUC